rnacentral:lncRNA from 1 species
GAAUUACAUAUUUAUUCUGAGGAAAACUGGGCAAGUCAGAGAGGAAGAAUGAUUUUGAGUACAAUGCAAUGCUUAUUAUUUCAAGAAUUGUCUGACCUAGUCCUCAUGAGCUGACUCUCAUGUCCUGGGAGAAAGGGCUAUGAUGGGUAUGGAGUAAGUGAUAAGAGAGAGUUUAGCGGAAUCUAUGUGAGACAUUUAGAGGCAUCUUCUAGUAAAAAGAGACCCUAGUAGGGGUGUAAAUGUAAUUGUUCCACUUGGAGUGAAACACAUGUUGAUGUGCAGUAGAGAUAUUGGCCUAACUAGGAAGCCAGACAAACCUAAAGCUGGAGAGAGACAGAAAGAGAAAGAGAGAGAGAGAGGGAGAGAGCGGUGGGAGGUGACAGCUCACUUGCAGGACCACGGAGGCAGAGAAGGAGAGGAAAAAUAUGAUGGAUGCAUAGCAAUUGAGCUCAAGUAAGACACUCUCCAGGACUCCCUGAAUUAUCUGGGAGAAGGUUUUGUUUCUUAAAAAUGGGAGAAAGGCAGAAGCAGAGAAAUGCUGUUUAUUUUAGUGACUAUAACCCGACUUCUCUCAUCCUCUUCCCUUCCCUUUGGUGUGGUCUUGGAAAACACAAAUUACAACAAGGAGUACAUGAUGUGGUUCCUGCCAGUUGAUGGACCAAGACACGCAUAACUAAAAAGAAAACCAUGUCGAAGAGAAUGCCGUCUGGAUCCAUCCAUGUCGUUGCAAAUGGCAGGAUUUCCUUCUUUUUUAAGGCUGUGUAGUAUUUCAUUAUAUGUGUAUACGCAACGUUUUCUUUAUCCAUUCAUCUGUCAGUGGACACUUAGGUUGUUUCCAUAUUUUGGCUAUUGUGAAUAAUGCUGCAAUGAACAUAGGGGUGCAGAUAUCACUUCAAGAUCUUGAUUUCAAUUCUUUUGGGUAUAUACCCAGAAGUGGGAUUGCUGGACCAUAUGGUGGAUCUAUUUUUAAUUUUUUUUUUUAAAGAUUUUAUUUUUUUCCUU